rnacentral:rRNA from 1 species
AUUGAACGCUAGCGGGAUGCUUUACACAUGCAAGUCGAACGAGUGGCGGACGGGUGAGUAAUAUAUCGUAACGUGCCCCGUAGCGGGGGAUAACUACUCGAAAGAGUGGCUAAUACCGCCUACUAUUGGAGUGGCCGAUAUCUGAUUAGCGAGUUGGGGGGGUAAAGGCUCACCAAGGCGACGAUCCGUAGCUGGUUUGAGAGGACGACCAGCCACACUGGGACUGAGACACGGCCCAGACUCCUACGGGAGGCAGCAGUGGGGAAUUUUGGACAAUGGGGGAAACCCUGAUCCAGCCAUGCCGCGUGUAUGAGAAGGCCUUCGGGUUGUAAAGUACUUUUGGCAGAGAAGCGGUAUCUGCAGAAUAAGCACCGGCUAACUACGUGCCAGCAGCCGCGGUAAUAC